rnacentral:rRNA from 1 species
UACAGAGGUCUCAAGCGUUGUUCGGAUUCAUUGGGCGUAAAGGGUGCGUAGGUGGCGUGGUAAGUCGGGUGUGAAAUUUCGGAGCUUAACUCCGAAGCUGCAUUCGAUACUGCCGUGCUUGAGGACUGGAGAGGAGACUGGAAUUUACGGUGUAGCAGUGAAAUGCGUAGAGAUCGUAAGGAAGACCAGUGGCGAAGGCGGGUCUCUGGACAGUUCCUGACACUGAGGCACGAAGGCCAGGGGAGCAAACGGG